UACGGAGGGUGCAAAGCGUUGUUCGGAAUUAUUGGGCGUAAAGGGCAAGUAGGUGGUCUUGUAAGUCUACUGUGAAAUCCCUGGGCUUAACCCAGGAAGUGCGGGUGGAUACUGCAAGACUAGAGUAUCGGAGGGGUAUGUGGAAUUCCUGGUGUAGCGGUGAAAUGCGCAGACUAUCAGGGAGGAACACCGGUGGGCGAAGGCGGGUCUCUGGGCCGAUACUGACGUGGAGGAGCGAAAGCCGUGGGGGAGCGAACAGG
rnacentral:rRNA from 1 species